rnacentral:rRNA from 1 species
CAGUUAGUUGGUGGGGUAAAAGCCUACCAAGGCCACGAUCGGUAGCUGGUCUGAGAGGACGAUCAGCCACACUGGGAUUGAGAACGGCCCAGACUCCUACGGGGGGCAGCAGUGAGGAAUUUUCGGCAAUGGGGGCAACCCUGACCGAGCAACGCCGCGUGCAGGAAGAAGGUUUUCGGAUCGUAAACUGCUUUUCUCUGGGACGAGCAAGGACGGUACCAGAGGAAGAAGCCCCGGCUAACUACGUGCCAGCAGCCGCGGUAAUACGUAGGGGGCGAGCGUUGUCCGGAGUUACUGGGCGUAAAGCGCACGCAGGCGGUCGUGUCAGUUUGGGGUUACAGCUCCCGGCUCAACCGGGAGAGCGCCUCGAAGACGGCAGGACUUGAGGGCCAGAGAGGGACACAGAAUUCCGGGUGGAGUGGUGAAAUGCGUAGAUAUCCGGAGGAAUACCAAAGGCGAAGGCAGUGUCCUGGCUGGUACCUGACGCUCAGGUGCGAAAGCUAGGGGAGCGAACGGGAUUAGAUACCCCGGUAGUCCUAGCCGUAAACGAUGACCACUAGGUGUGCGGGGUAUCGACCC